CUCACCGUGCUUCUGGGUAGAGCUUAAUUGGCCCAUUGACGGUGACUGUAUCGGGUUAGAUGGCGGAGAAGGAACAGUUUUCCGACCGCAUACGCAUACCUAUACGCAUAUGCAUUAGCAUACUGAAGCACUUUAAUAUUGUUUAGCAAACCGUAUUUGUAAUCCUUUAUUUUGAACUGCUGGAAAGUCAACCGGACUGUUAGAAUAAACACUCAACAAGAAUUCUACUCUCCGUGCGAGCUUCUUCAGAAUGUGUGUCGGGAGAACUCCGCAUCAGCCUCAUGGCCUCAAAAACCUGGUAGAAUGGCCAUAACAUAGUCGGAAAACUACCCGAAGACCGACGUCUUUGAAAGGAUUGUAUCCAUGGAUUGUGUCCUCACGGAUUGUGGACAACGUCACGGUUGAAUACCGAAGGGGAACGCAAUCGAUGGAAUGUAUGAAGAGCCGACGCAUCGCGUCACUACACGGUGUAGAGUAUCCGCCAACUACAGAGCAGAGUUCUACACCAUGUACAGUAUUGGGACCAUGGCAUGUGGUCGGCUCUACAAAGUCUGCACAGGAUAUAUUGGUACAGGGAAAAGAGGCAAACUGGAAGGAAUAUAUUCCGACAGCUACGACGGGGGGUACUGUCUACUGUGAUGACUUCUGCCGUCCAAGA